UACGUAGGGGGCUAGCGUUGUCCGGAAUCAUUGGGCGUAAAGGGCGCGUAGGCGGCCCCGUAAGUCUUGGGUGAAAGCCCCCGGCUCAACUGGGGAGGGUCACGCGAUACUGAUCGACUCGAAGGCAGGAGAGGGUAGUGGAAUUCCCGGUGUAGUGGUGAAAUGCGUAGAUAUCGGGAGGAACACCAGUGGCGAAGGCGACUACCUGGCCUGUUUCUUGACGCUGAGGCGCGAAAGCUAGGGGAGCAAACGGG
rnacentral:rRNA from 1 species